GCACAGGUGCUGCAUGGCUGUCGUCAGCUCGUGUCGUGAGAUGUUGGGUUAAGUCCCGCAACGAGCGCAACCCUUAUCCCUAGUUGCCAUCAGGUAAAGCUGGGAACUCUAGGGGAGACUGCCGGUGAUAAACCGGAGGAAGGCGGGGAUGACGUCAAGUCCUCAUGGCCCUUACAUCCCGGGCUACACACGUGCUACAAUGGCAGGUACAGAGGGCUGCGAAGCCGCGAGGUGGAGCGAAUCCCAGAAAACCUGUCUCAGUCCGGAUUGAAGUCUGCAACUCGACUUCAUGAAGGCGGAAUCGCUAGUAACCGCGAAUCAGCAGGUCGCGGUGAAUACGUUCCCGGGCCUU
rnacentral:rRNA from 1 species